UUUUUGCUUUCACUUACAGACCAGACUCAGAAGGACAUGGAAAGACACAAAUCAGUAUAGAGGUUGCAUGAAGGUGAAGAAGGGGCAAAAUGCAGCAAUUUUUAGUGGCAGUUUUUCUGGUGACAAUCUCAGGACUACUCCAAGAAACAAACGGCUGUGAUUCUGAGGAAAACGUAACUGAUUACAUCAAUGAAGAUGUCGUUUUGCCAUGUAACUGU